UCCUAUAGACCAAUACAACUUUGUUUGUUUUUUAAAAUUACAUAUACACAAAAAUUACAGAACAUUUUUAGCUCCUCCCAGAAGAUAUAGUAUAAAUAACCUUGUACAGCUCUUCAGAAACAAGAGCAACAUUUUUGUAAACAUUUCAUAAACAGAGGCCUGAUACUACAUUGACAACAUGGAAGCCUUCUUUGGAACAUGGAAACUCAAAAAAGUGAACCUUGAUCAAUUUAUGAAAGCAGUCGGUGUACAUCUGAUGAUUCUAAUCUAACUGAGACUUUUUCCAAAGAGGGAGACCGAUUUGUCUGGAAAAUAAAGAGAGGCCAUGAAGGCAAAGAAAUAAAGUUCAAACUGGAUAAAGCGUUCCAGGACGGAGUCAUUGUACUGUAAGUGCUUUGAAAUCAUUUCCACAUCAGUCGUUAUAUAAACUGUUGAAUUUUCUCUCAAUACGAGAGUGUAGUCUUUGCAUGAAGCUGAUCUUGUUUUAUUUAUUUUUAUUCUUUUUGCCAUCCAACUGGUAUUUUAUAUUUUUCUCUAGAAUACCAUAAGUCUUAAGGGAAAACAAAUGGUACAGGUGAAGAAAUGGGGUACUAAAGAAAUCAUAAUUACCCGUGACAUUAAUGCCAAUAUCAUGAUUAUGACUCUGUCAUUUGGUGGUGUUCAAGGACAACGCAUUUAUCAGAAAGUUUAAUCAUUAUUCAGUGAUAAUAGCUGUAAAGCUUUGUUUUGAAUAAGUUAUAUGAAUAAUUUAAUCAUUAGUAAGAUAUCAAUGUGCACACAAUUACACAGAACACAAUAUUAUUGUAAGUUACAUGCUUCAGUUUAUAUUACUGGGACACUAAAUGGUGCAACGUAUCUGAUUUAAUAUAAGGAUGAAGUGCAUGUAACUUCUGUACUCAAGUCUUUUAGGAUUUUUUGAUGAUAUACUGCUACACAAAAGAAAACCUCUACUUAUAAAACUUA